AACGAACGCUGGCGGCAUGCCUAACACAUGCAAGUCGAACGAGACCUUCGGGUCUAGUGGCGCACGGGUGCGUAACGCGUGGGAACCUGCCCUUAGGUUCGGAAUAACUCCCCGAAAGGGGUUCUAAUACCGGAUAAUUUCUUCGGACCAAAGAUUUAUCGCCUUUGGAUGGGCCCGCGUUGGAUUAGCUAGUUGGUAGGGUAAAAGACUACCAAGGCGACGAUCCAUAGCUGGUCUGAGAGGAUGAUCAGCCACACUGGGACUGAGACACGGCCCAGACUCCUACGGGAGGCAGCAGUGGGGAAUAUUGGACAAUGGGCGAAAGCCUGAUCCAGCAAUGCCGCGUGAGUGAUGAAGGCCUUAGGGUUGUAAAGCUCUUUUACCCGGGAUGAUAAUGACAGUACCGGGAGAAUAAGCUCCGGCUAACUCCGUG
rnacentral:rRNA from 1 species